rnacentral:rRNA from 1 species
UACGUAGGGUGCGAGCGUUGUCCGGAAUUAUUGGGCGUAAAGAGCUUGUAGGCGGUCUGUCGCGUCGGCUGUGAAAACCCGGGGCUCAACCCCGGGCCUGCAGUCGAUACGGGCAGACUAGAGUGCGGUAGGGGAGACUGGAAUUCCUGGUGUAGCGGUGAAAUGCGCAGAUAUCAGGAGGAACACCGGUGGCGAAGGCGGUUCUCUGGGCCUUACCUGACACUGAGGAGCGAAAGCGUGGGGAGCGAACAGG